rnacentral:rRNA from 1 species
GACAGAGGGGGCAAGCGUUGCUCGGAAUUACUGGGCGUAAAGGGCGCGUAGGCGGGAUGGCAAGUCGGUCGUGAAAUCCCUCGGCUCAACCGAGGAACGUCGAUCGAUACUGCUGUUCUUGAGGAUUGCAGAGGAGACUGGAAUUCCCGGUGUAGCGGUGAAAUGUGUAGAGAUCGGGAGGAACACCGGUGGCGAAGGCGGGUCUCUGGGCAAUUCCUGACGCUGAGGCGCGAAAGCAUGGGGAGCGAACAGG